AUUUGAUGUUGAGGGCAUGAUGCAACUAGAGCCUUGAAACGCUCAUAAUACGCUAGAAAGGAUUCUCCUUUAUUUUGUUGAAUGCAACUAAUCUAUUUCCUCAAAAG